GCAUUCUCUAAAACUCUGAUGUGAGUUUGCUGCCAAGCCAUUUGAACAUUAACUGAGGCUUUUUUUUAUAUCAGGUUCAAAAACUUGAUUGUGCAGGUCAGGGAGAGAGAGUACAGGGAGAGAGAGUACAGAGAGAGACAGCGCAGGAGGAGGCACAAAUGACCAGAGGAACACAUGGUGAGGGCAGCAGUCAGGCAAGUGAAGAGGUUCAAAAACUUGAUUGUGCAGGUCAGGGAGAGAGAGUACAGAGAGAGACAGCGCAGGAGGCACAAAUGACC